rnacentral:rRNA from 1 species
GUGGGGUAAUGGCCUACCAAGUCUACGAUCUAUAGCUGGUUUGAGAGGAUGAUCAGCCACACUGGAACUGAGACACGGUCCAGACUCCUACGGGAGGCAGCAGUAGGGAAUAUUGCACAAUGGAGGAAACUCUGAUGCAGCCAUGCCGCGUGAGUGAAGAAGGCCCUAGGGUUGUAAAGCUCUUUCAAUGGUGAAGAUGAUGACGGUAACCAUAGAAGAAGCUCCGGCUAACUUCGUGCCAGCAGCCGCGGUAAUACGAAGGGAGCUAGCGUUGUUCGGAAUUACUGGGCGUAAAGAGCACGUAGGCGGACAUAUAAGUCAGGGGUGAAAUCCCGAGGCUCAACCUCGGAACUGCCCUUGAAACUAUGUGUCUAGAGACCAUAAGGGGAUAGCGGAAUACCUAGUGUAGAGGUGAAAUUCGUAGAUAUUAGGUGGAACACCAGUGGCGAAGGCGGCUAUCUGGUAUGGUACUGACGCUGAGGUGCGAAAGCGUGGGGAGCGAACA